CUGUUGGCCAGUCACCUUCCAUGUGGCUAUGACUCUUUGAUGUAUUUGGCUUUAAAGCCCCUAUUCUACCUUCAGACAGACUAUUUAUGUAGGUUGCUUUAUUUCUCUUAUGUUUUAGUCACCCUGUACCCAUUAUAGGUGCAGGGUGUGUGUAAUGUAAUUGUUUAUAGUGUGUGUGUGUGUACUGUGAAAUGUAUUACCUGCUCUUCUGUACUGCUGAG